UUGGUUGCAUGCAAGCUAGCAUUUAUAUUCCUUCCCACCACAUCGGCGAGAAUAAUAUACAGAGCUUAUCAACCAAACACAAUUUUCUUUAUACUAUAUAACUGUAUGUACAGAGCUUCUUAUCCAAACCAUGAGCUCUCCGUAGAGAGAGCUGUUUCGCGUUUUUCAGUUAUUUCAUAUUGGCUCUGUGUUUUGUCAUGCGAUCAACUGCUUGCUUCUACUUUUGCUGUUUCAUCUGAUAGUUUUGUUUCCGAGGUUGUUUCGUGAUGGGCUGGUUCAACAAAGUCAACGGGCUUGUCUUCCUGAGAUUCUUUCGUAGUUUCAGUUUCGGUUUUGCUUUCACGUUCGGUUUCGGUUUCAGGUUCUGCUGGCAUCUCAUCCUCGUGCGUCUCAUGGUUUGCUUCCUCUGCAAUUGACUUUGGGUUUGACGUCAGCUCUUCCACUUUUUCAGGGUCAGCAGCCGUUGACAUUGUACUCUCUUCUUCUUUCUUGGUAGGAACGUCUUCUGCUACUGCUGCUGAAUUCUCCACCUCGGUCGCUUGUGGUUCAUCGUCCAAACUUGGUGCGUUUACUUCCUCCGUUGACUUCUCGCCAAGGUCAACUAGUGUUGUUUGAUCCACACUUUGUUCUGGUGUACUUUGUUCUAGUGUAGUAUCUGCUGGUGCAUUCUCAACCUCAUCUGGCGCUGUUUCCACGACUGGAUUCUCGUCAGCUUGUCCCGGCUCUAGGGCCGCUAGUACUUCGUUGUCUUUCGGAGUGGUUUCAAUCUGCUCUGGCUCCUCAACUGGUUCGUGUUCCGCGGCAUUCAGUGGAGUCUCCUCGAGGCUUGGUGCUGUCUCGGUUUCGCCAGGGAUUGGUUCGGGUUCCACGGUUUCAACCUUGGCGGGAUCACCUGUGAUGAGUGGCUGGCUUUCCGGCAUUGCACGGUCUCCGGUUCCAGCUUCUUCAGAUCCGGCUACUUCCAGGCUUGGUGCAUCAAGUUCUUCCAGUGGCUUGAUGUCAGCUUCGGGAGUUUCCGCUGGGUCUUCCACCGCCGCUUCAAUGUUUGUAGUAGGAUUUGAUUCUUCUAUUGAUGCAGCGUCUGUGCUCUCGCCACCUUCUGGGAAUAUAACUUGUUCGCCAACUUUUUCCUCCUCUACCGAAGCUGGUUGUUCUUCUGUGCUUGGUGUUUCAAUAGACUCUUCCGUGGGAGAUUUGGAACUCUCGGCUGUUGUUUCAUCCACAUUUUGAUGCGACACUUCCUUGGGUUCUCCAGGCGUCUCCACAACUCCAGCAGCAUUCUCUUCUGCAGUUCCAACGAGCUUCUCCUCAGCUGGUUCAUGUGGAGGAAUUGUAACAGCUUGUUCUGGCUCUUGUAUCUCUAGAGCUCUUUCCUCCUCCUGUGCUUCAGCAGGCUUGUCCAUUUCAGUAGCUGGUUUGUUCAGACCAGUCGUUUGAUCAGCCAGUUCCUGUGUGUCGUCCUCUACGUGUUUCUCUGCAGGCUCCUCCAUUGGUUCAUCUGCUUGAGCUGCUGCCUCUGUUUCAAGAGUUUUGUCAUCUUCCGUCGUGGCAGCCGGUUCCUUUGCUUCCAGUUCCUGUGUUUCAUUGUUGGUUGUCUCGUGCUUUUCCGGAAUCUCCUGUUUUAGUUCGUCCGGCUUCGUAGUUUGGACUGCUUCUUGUGUCACAGGAGUUCCUUCAGAAGGCUCCACCAUUGCAGGAACUGGCUCAUCCACACUGGUUAAUUCUGCAGCUGGUUCAUCCAAACUAGUUCUUUCAGCUUGCUCCUGUGUCUCACUGGCUGGUUCGUCUACUUGUUUUUCAGGAACCUCCACUGGAUCAUCCAUCACGACCGCUGGAUCGAGCUCGUCCUUGCUCGUUACUGGUUCCUGUGUUUCAAGAGCUCUUUCGUCUGCUUCUUGUUCCCCGGGCUCUUCCACAGUCACAGCUGGUUGUGGUUCCUCACUUGGUGUUUGAGCAACUGUUUCCUCUUCAGCCUGUUUCAGAACUUCAACAGGCUCAUUAGCUGGUUCAUCCACAGCUGGCGUCUCAAGAAGUGGCUCUUCUGAAGCUGUGUCUUCAGCAGGUUCCUCUAACUUAGCAGCUGCUUCCUCCUCGCUUGUCGUUUGAACCGUUUCAGGAACUGCUUGUUGUUCUGGAAGUUCGCCUGGCUCAUUUGGAGUAGGAGCUGGUUCAUCCGCAACUGGCUGGUGAACUUCAACAGGCUCCUCCACGGAAGAUGGUUCUUUCUCACUCGUUUGAUCCUUUGCAUGUUGCUCUGGAACUUCGACUGGUUCAGCAUCUAGAGUAGAAGCUGGUUGAUCCACAACCGGCUCAUCCGCCACCACAGAUGAUGGUUCCUUCUCACUCGUCGUUUCAUCCUCUGCAAGUUGCUCCAAAACUUCAACUGGCUCAACAUCUAGAUGCGAAGCUGGUUGAUCCACAACCGGCUCGUCUGCCACCACAGAAGAUGGUUCCUUCUCACUCGUCGUCUCAACAGUCUGGUCCUCUGCAUGUUGUUCUUGAACUUCAACUGGCUCAGCAUCUAGAGUAGAAGCCGGUUGAUCCACAACUGGCUCGUCUGCCACCACAGAAGAUGGUUCCUUCUCACUUGUCGUUUCAUCCUUUGCAAGUUGUUCCGGAACUUCGACUGGCUCAGCAUCUAGAUGUGAAGCUGGUUGAUCCACAACUGGCUCGUCGGCCACCACAGAAGAUGGUUCCUUCUCACUUGUUUCAACAGUCGAAGAUGGUUCCUUCUCACUUGUCGUUUCAUCCUUUGCAAGUUGUUCUGGAACUUCGACCGGCUCAGCAUCUGGUUGAUCCACAACUGGCUCGUCCGCCACCACAGAAGAUGAUUCCUUCUCACUCGCAACGGUCUCGUCCUCUGCAAGUUGUUCCGGAACUUCGACUGGAACUUCAACUGGCUUUGCAUCUAGAGUAGAAGCUGGUUGAUCCACAACUGGCUCGUCCGAAGCUGUGACUUCAACGGGUUCCACCACCAAAGAAGAUGGUUCCUUCUCACUCGUUGUUUCAAUAGUCUCAUCCUCUGCAUGUUCUUCUGGAACUUCGACUGGCUCUGGAUCUGGUUGAUUCACAACUGACUCAUCCGAAGCUGUAACUUCCACCGGUUCCAAUGGUUCCUUCGUAGUUUCAUCCUCUGCAUGUUGCUCUGGAACUUCGACUGCCUCACCUAGAGCAGAAGCUGGUUCAUCCACAACUUGCUCGUCGGCCAUAGAAGGUGGUUCCUUCUCACGAGUCGUUUGAACAGUCUCAUCCUCUGCAUGUUGUUUUGGAAGUUCGACUGGCUCAGCAUCUAGCGUAGAAGCUGGUUGAUCCAGAACUGCGUCCGAAGCUGUGACUUCAGCAGGUUCCUCCACCACCAAUGGUUCCCUCUUGCUCGUGGUCUCAUCCUCUGCAUGUUGCUCUGGAACUUCGACUGCCUCACCUAGAGCAGAAGCUGGUUCAUCCACAACUGGCUCGUCCAAAGCUGUGGCUUCCUCCGCCAUAGAAGAUGGUUCUUUCUCACUAGUCUCAUCCUUUGCAUGUUGUUCCGGGACUUCGACUGGCAUAGCAGCUUGUUCAUCCACGGGGGAUGUCUCAACGGGCUCCUCCAAAGUUUCGACUUCGGCAGGCUCCUCCUCACGUGUUGCUUGAACUGUUUCCGUCACCAGUUCUUCUGGAUGUUGUCCUGGAACUUCAACAGGUUCAUCUUGAGUAGGAGCUGGUUCGUCCACGACGGGUGACUUUACUGGCUCUUCAGGAGCCUCCUCCAACUUAGCUGAUGGUUCCUCCUUGCUCGUGGUUGGAGCUAUUUCAUCCUCUAAAUGCUGUUCCGGAACUUUGACAGGAUAUGAAGCUUCAACUUCAGCAGGCUCCUCCACAUUAGCAGAUGGUUCCUCCUCGCUCGUCGUUGGAACUGUUUCAACCCCCGGUUCCUUCAAAUCUUGUUCUGGAACUUCGACAGGUUCAUCUCGAGUAGGAGCUGGUUCAUCCACGACAGGUGCCUCCGCUGGCUCUUCCAAAGCUUCACCUUCCUCCAGCUUAGCAGUUGAUGGUUCCUCAGUCACGAGUUCCUUCAAAUUUUGUUCUAAAACUUCAGCAGGCUCGUGAGCUGGUUCGUCCACGGGGGAUGUCUCCACCGGCUCUUGCGAAGCUUCACCAUCAGCAGGUUCCUUCAACUUACCCUCGGCUGGAUCCUCCACAGUCGUUGUCUCUGGCGUCCCAAGAGCUGGUUUUUCAGCCUCGGCUGGUUCCUCCACAGUCGUCGUCUCUGGCGUCCCAAGAGCUCGUUCUUCAACCUCGGCUGGUUCCUCCACAGUCGUCGUCUCUGGCGGCUCAAGAGCUCGUUCUUCAACCUCGGCUGGUUCCUCCGCAGUCGUCGUCUUUGGCGUCCCAAGAGCUGGUUGUUCAACCUCGGCUGUUUCCAUAGUUGGUUCUUGUUCUUCCGUUUUUGCUUCAACAGUUUCCUCUAAAGCUGGCUCAGAGGCUGCUGCUUCCUCUUUACCAAUAGCGUCAUCCGUAGUUGACGUAGUAGUAUCCAGCUUAUCCUCGGCCGGUUUCUCCGUCUCUGGCGUCCCAUCUUCAACCUCGGCUGGUUCCAUCGUCCCGAUGGUUAGUUCUUGCAGAUCACGAUCCGUUGAUGCUGGUUCUUCUGCUUUUCCUUCAACAGGUUCCUCCAAAGCUGGCUCAGAUAUUGUUGCGUCCUCUUUACCAAUAGCGUCAUCCAUAGUCUCCAACUCAUCCUCGGCUGGUUCUUCCACUGUCGUCCCAAGAGCUGGUUCUUCAACCUCGGGCGGUUUCUCCGUCUCUGGCGUCUCAUCUUCAACCUCGGCUGGUUCCAUUGUCCCGAUGGUUGGUUCUUGCAGAUCACGAUCAGUUGAUGCUGGUUCUUCUGAUUUUCCUUCAACAGGUUCCUCCAAACCUGGCUCAGAUGCUGUUGCAUCCUCUUUACCAAUAGCGUCAUCCAUAGUCUCCAACUCAUCCUCGGCUGGUUCUUCCACUGUCGUUGUCUCUGGCGUCCCAAGAGCUGGUUCUUCAACCUCGGCUGGUUCCAUUGUCUCGAUGGUUGGUUCUUGCAGAUCACGAUCAGUUGAUGCUGGUUCUUCAGCCAAAGUCACUGGUUGAUCAGUGCUCUCUUCAACCACGCUAGGAGGCUCAGCUUUGGCUUCAAGAACUUGAUACUCAGGUUCUUCCGCAGCUUCAACUUGAGGCUCAUCUGCUAGUGAUUUCGUUCGUUCAGUUUCUUCACCAGUUUCUUCCUGCGUCUCGGCAGUUGGCGCUGCUUCAACACUUGUUUCAACUCCCGUGUCCUCUUUCCUGUCAAGUUCAGCCCCAGCCUUCUCAUCUGAAACAGCUUCCACGGUUGGAGCAGCGUCGUCAACUGUUGCAUCGGGUGAAACUUCAGUUUCGACGUCAGGAGCGGAGCUCGUAACCUCGGAGUUCUCCGUGAUAUCAGGUGCCGUUGUCGCAGGAAUAUUAAAAGUUUCCGGUGCAACUUCUCUAGACUCUUCGUUUGGUUCGAGAGUAUCCUCUUCCUUGACCUCCAAAGUAUCAGGUCCUUGAGCUCCAGCCGUUUCUGGAGGAGGCUCGACGCCUCCUUCUUCACUUAGCACAGCCUCUUCAGACGGUGUAGCGUCAAGAGCCACUGUCGUGUCUUCUAACGCAGAACUUUCCUCACUCUCAACAGGCUGAGUAGUAGAAGCAGCCGCUUUAGCACCUGUUUCCUCCGGCAAGCUCACUGGAGCUGCUUCUUCUUUCGCAGCACCGGCACUGUCCAAAUUGGUUUCCUCGCUCACAGGUUCUUCACGAUCCUUUGACUCAACCUCAAUCUUGCUAUCUUCAACCUGUGGCGUCUCUUCUUCAGUUGGAAUUUCUUCCGUUUUUUCUUCCAUUGGCGGCACAAUUUCGGCCUGAGCAGCACUCUCGCUGUCCACUUUUUCCUCAACUUGAGGAGGAGCUUCGUCCAUUUGCAGUUCUUUGUCACCGCUAGACACAUUGUCGGUUUCAUGCAUGGUUUCUGGUGUAGCAGCCUCGAACUCUUCGGCUUGAGUAGGAACUUCUUCCGUUUUCCCUUGAUUAUCUUUGCUUUCAGGCACUUUGUCGACUGUCUCUGCCGCCAGAGUUUCCUCCGCUUUCGGUUCGGUUUCUUCGACCUCGGCCUCGAUGUGGGUUUCCGGCAUCUGUUCGGGUUGAUCGACAUCUUCAGCUUUAACUUCACUUUCUCCACUUUCUGCUACAUUCUCGCGCUUGGCUUCCGUUGUCUCUGGAGCAGUAGCUACAUGGUCUUCAGGCUCGUCAACAUUUCCUUCCACUGUCCCUCCGGUUUCGAUGUUCUGUGGUACUUUUUCGUCCGCAGCAGCAGCCUUGCCUUCAACUCCCACCGUCGAAUCUACGGGAGCUUCAUCCGAAGGUAAUGAUUCGGGUACUUCCUUCUCCUCUGAUGGUUUAUCUGUCAAGUCUUCUAACUCCGACCUGGCUUGAGGAACGUUUUCUUUGUCCAUGACAUCGGGUGAAACGCCGCCACCUUGAAGAGCGGCUUCUUUGGCAUCGAUCUCCGCCGCUGGACUAAGUUGGUCGUCGAUACCUCGAUCACUGACGGCUUCCUUGUUUUCAUCCGUAGUUUCGUGUUUUCUAGUAUCCUGUCCAGUAUCUUCAGUAGCUUUGGUGUCUUCUGUCAUAACUGGCGAGUCAUCAGACGUUGGAGCCUCAGGCGGAACAUCUUUCAGAGCCUCGGAGACAACAGCGGGAGAAUCAAUUGCCAUCGCUUCAGAUAGUGGACUUUGAUCGUGUUUGGGAUCAUUGCUUGAAUCAUCGGUGCUCAAGGGCGCGUCAGCCGCUGGAACUUUAGAAAAGCUCUCCGGGGGAAGUACCACUUGUUGGGGUAAAUCAUGAAAGACUUCCUGACCUUGAGGACUUUCGGGUUCCUGGAAACUCUAAACAGCUCAAGAAAAGGCAUGCGAUAUUGGAGAACAUCAUCUUACCGCUUCAACUCUAGACAUUCCAACUGGAGACUCCUCAGCUUUUCCAGGAAUCUCACGCUGUUGGGUGAUAUGGUCAGCAAUUAAUACUUCGCAGCUCUAUGGACAAGAGUACCUCUUUAUUGAUAUCGUUCUCAGGCUUAUAGAAAUCCUCCACGACGGUCUUGAGUCCUCCCAGAUAUCUUGCUGCACGAGAAAAUCCCAGUAGAGUUGGAUAAGAUCAAACAAGAAACUCGGUUGUUUACCUUUACCUUCACUGCUACUCUCUCCAUUGGAAGACAAGGGAAGUGAAGAUCUCUCUGACGAAUCUGGCGAUCGACGAGAUGGACUCGACUUCACAGGCAUCGAAAACCCGUCUAGUUGCUGGACAAGAUCAUGAAAAACCUCCUCCUCUUGGCCCUCCUCUUCGUGCUCAUCCAUUCCUUUGAUUUCCUCCUUCUGGAUGGUCUCAAAGUCAUCUUUUGGUUCGUCGUGGAUUAACUUCUUGCCAGUCUCCUGCAAGAUCAGAUCCAAAACAAAUGAGAAAUCCAGACCACCACGAUAGAUCGAAGUUACUUUGAUCUUUGUGGCGACUUUGGAGGCCGCCUUGGACGUUCUGUGGUGGCCGUCAUCCUUCUCUUUGCGUUGAGCGUUUCCCAUGAUGAAUCAGAAGAACACACAACUAUGUAAAACAAUGAUAGUAGAAAUCUCUCGCUGCUCCUCCGUGCAAGGGGCUUGCUUCGUGCAAGCUUCUAAGAAAAACCGGAGCAAGGGAACAAAAACGCGAAUGAAAUCCAAGCUUGCGAUCAAAAAACAGUGCAAGUAUGAAUCACGGUCUCUAAAAUCCCUGUCGAGAAAGAGGAAAAGAAUCUAUAUACACGAGCACGCACACCGAUCUCUACGAAACCAGCAAAAUUUACACAAGAAAGCGCUGAAUGCCGGAUUCUAGCACGAAAAAAUCACUCCAGAUUCACAAAAUUACGCCAGCGCCAGGAUCUAAGCCCCUCCCUCUCGCCACAACUUUCCUCUUCGAUGGCGCCACGAUAAACCCUACAGUGAAAAAACUGUGAAGGCCGGACCAAUGCCAGCUAUGAGCGGCGAUCGUGGCCGUCCAUCUGAGAACGAUCCAGGCCGUUCACUGACAUUGUAAAGAGAAAAUAUUCUUCCUUCCCCACAAGAAUGACUUUCAAGGAGAUCACGUAGUUGGCUUGGAUCUUUUUAGAAUUAAACAAAGUGAUUAUCCUAAAAAUCGCUUUGCUGGAAUGAGUAGAGAAUAAAAUUUAUUCGAUGGCCUUUGCUGGAAAGAAGCAAUGCGAGAAAAAAAAACAAUAGAAAGUCGGUCUCUAAAAAACAAGCUUUUCUUGUCUCUUUGCCUCCACAGUGCGUCAACGAAGAACUUCAAACCGGGAGAGAUCUGGGAGCUCUACCUUUUGGAAGAACAAUUUGGACGGAGAGAGAUCUCGCGGCGGAUCAAUAGAAACUUCAAAAACUUGAGUGUGUUCUUGGUGUGUCUCGCGGGAAACGAAUCUCCGGCUCUUAAGACGUAACCAUAGCCAUUUUAGAUAAGCACCUAGCGAAACAUUUAGUAAGCCAUCCAGGGAAGAAACGCAAAGAGACUCUGAAGAAUGGUUGGAUGGUUUCCUCUUGUCAGUACCCACCUAAGCAACCCAGGCAAGGUAGUGAACACACCUGCAUCACCGGGGACCUCGGAGAUCCGCGACACGAGCCACGCCUUGGCGGUCGCGGUGUGCAUCGGUAGCAUGCUCACAAUCUCCCGUCGCAAGAGUCUGCAAUCAAAGAAGGGAAAUGGUUUCAAGUUAGAGUGAUCGUUCUCGUUUCAUGGAAGAAAAACUUAUACUCAUUCCAAACUACACAAUCGUUUGAGAAAUCGUCAAACUUUGCAAGCGAGCACGUCAACAAUCCUCCGAAAGAAACGCGAUCUUCUUACGCACAACAACGAAAAAAAAAAGUGCAGCGUCCAAAUAGAAAACUCACAGCGAAACAUAGAAAGACAUUUGGUAGGAAACUCAUGUACCGUCUUCAGGAAAAAAAAAACCAAACAAAGAAAAAAAUAGAUGAAAAACUCAAACCCAGCAAACAAUAAGACCCCUUCCAAACUACGGAACUGUUUGAGAGAUCAUCAAAUUUUGCACGUGAGCACAUCAGCAAUCCUCGGAAAGAAGAGCUAAAAAUUAGACCACCUUAUGCACAGCAAAAGAAGGAAAAUAAAAAUAAAAAUGCAGCUUCCAAAUAGAACUCACAACGAAAACAUAAAUAUAAACAAAAGACCUUUCGAAAGAAACCCAUGUAUCGUCACACAACUCGAGCACACAAAGAAACGAUGUAAAAACUUAACCCGGAAACAAUAAGACCCAAAACAAAAUGCUAUAGUCAGUCCAAUUGUUUGAGAGAUCAAGAUUUUGCAAGCAAGCACGCCGGAAAGAAGAGUUAAAAAUUAGAUCUUCUUACUAAAGGAAAACAAAUGCAAACAAAAAAAAGGAAAGAGAUUUCCUUUCAGGAAGAAAAACACAACCCGAGCAAACAAAGAAAAAAUAAACAGAUCUUCGAACAACAAUGAAAGAACUUAACCAGAGAACAAUAAGAGCCACCCAAAACAAAGAAAAACAUGCAAGAGGAAGCAAAUUUACCCCGAAGAACGAACGCCGCCCAAGGGAUUGCGCUGAGGCGCGCGGGCGCGAAAGAGCGGCGGCGCCUGAGGCCGGGCGGAGCGCGCAGCGGAGGCGGCAUUGGCGAACGCCGCCCUCGCGAAUCGUCCAGCACUUCUUGCAGCCAUAUCCUCCCUCUCAUGCAGGGUUUAGGGUUUGGGGGAGACCUGACAGAACAUUCCCCCCCGUCACCGAAUAUGCCGUCAAGCCAAGCGGCAAUAAGCAAUUCCAUCAAUUUAAUUAGCAGCAAUGUUCUUCGUUCCUGAUUCUUUUUUCUCGUUUUUCUUCGCGAUUUUUCCUUCUUUUUUUUGUGUGUUGUAGCCGAUUUAAGCACUACAUUCUUCCACCUGGAACAUCUUGAGGACCGUUCUAAACACUCCCGCGUCGACUGGAAUAUCAGAUAUCCUCGACACCAGCCACGCUUUCGCGGUGGCGGAAUGGAACGGGAGCAUUGUGGAAACCUCUCGCCGCAGCCUGCAUUAGCCAAGAAAAAAAAAAUCCUUGUGUGAGAGUUGCGAUUCGAUGACCAUAAACAAGAUUUAUCAAACAAUGCAUGCAACGCUGCGCUGAUAGAAAAAUCGACCAAAACACGAACCAAGCAUGAAGAAAACCAAACGAUUCAGGAAAAACGAGACCACUAAUCAACUAACGAAACAAGCUUACCAUUGCCGCAAGAUGAGAGAGAACAAGAGCAACAAGAAUUCACAGAAGAAAAGAAACCAAAAAAUGCAGCAUUGAGACCUCAUCCAAAUGCGGGAAAGGAGAAAUUUCACCCUGGAUUGGAACUUACACUGGCGAAUUCAUUCGAUUGGCGAGGCUGCCCCGCCUGGGAGCGGCGAAUCCCAAUGGCGGAGGCGGCCGCGGGCCGGCGGCGGGCCGGCGCUGCGCCGCAUUGAAGAAAGCCCUCCUCGCGAAGCCCGUCCUUGCUGCCAUACACCCAAACCAUUAGGGUUUAGGGUUUGAGCCACAAGGAACAUUCGAAAGAAUAUCCACCGCGAGGAAUAUACCCAUAGGAAAAGAAUAUUCGAUAGCGCAAAUUCUUUGCGUCUUUGUUUCUUUGGUUCAAGAACAAUAACUUUGCAGAAAGAUUUCAUGGCGGCGAUUUUUUCUUCACUCGUUUCUCAGCGAUUUCUUCUUUCUUGUGUCGAGUUCGUUCUUGCUCCCGUAGUGAUGGGACGUGGAAUUUGGACACGCUGCAGCACUCUGUCUGAAGACCACAGUUAAAACACGCUUUCUUUCCCGGGGGGCGGAAAAAAAAUAUGAAAUCCUCAAGAACAUGCAAGCCAGGCAAACCUGCUUUGGAGGAACUCUGCUGCAAAACUUUUUUUUUUUUCAGAGUCUAUGGUGAGCACAGUUUCGUACACACCUGCGUCGACAAGUAUCUCCGAAAUCCUCGAAACAAGCCACGCGUUUGCCGUCACCGAGUGCAUCGGCUGCAUUGUCAGCACCUCGCGGCGCAACCUGGAGACAUACCCGCAAAAACAAAGUUUUUCAGUCCACUUUCCCCGUCAAUGUUAUCUACAAUGACGGGAGAGCUUCAGUGCUGCUUAGCUAAGCCUCCAAAACCCAAAAACAAUGGCGGCGUGUCCAUCGCAGAGUGACACUCCUCAGGAAAGGAUGCCACCGAGACAAAGAAUAAAAUCAUCACAGCAAACUCUGGAUUCUAGAACACCAAGUAGAACUAAACUUGUGCAAAAUCAUUCCAGCACAAGCAACGCCAUAAUUCACCCCCAAAAAGGAAAGCCACCGAGACAAAGAACAAAAUCAUGCACUGUGACAUGCGAAAAGACCAUUCUUCGUACUUGUGCUGCAAAAUCCCUAUCUAGAACAAUGCAGCACCAGAAAUGCGACAAUUCCAGCAAGAAAGACGCCUUCCCUGCCAUCUACUCUAGAAUCAAUCCAAAGCGAUUCUUACCCGGACGAUUGCAAGCGAGCAAUGCGCGCGCCGCUCCUGGAACUAGCGAAUCCAAACCCCGGCUGCGGCUGCGCGGGCCUGGCCGCCGGCCGCGGCGCAGCGGCAUUGAAGAAUGCCCUGCGCGCAAAGCGCCCCGCGCUCCUGGCAGCCAUAAUCCCUAGCUAGGGUUUAGGGCUUCUCCAGAUGCUCUAGAAUAUCCUCCCGCCGGUUCCCGGUUCGAAUAUCUUUGUUCUGGCAGACGCGUGGCCCAAUCCUCGGCAUCGGACACGUGCCAUGCUUGAAGAUCGCCGACGGCCAACACGUGUCUUGUAAAGAUCUUGAAGAUAUUUGGAACUUUCCACGUGUUUGCCCGGCAAAUAUCUCACACGUCACUGAAAAGCGUGUAUUAGUGCUUAAUGGUUUUCAGCGUAUAGAAGCGAGGCUUUAGGGCACCUGGCAACAAAUCCUUGGCAGUGCGUUGAGCGCGAUUGUAAGUUUGAUCAUAUUUCCUCCAUUCUUGAGAUGGUUUUUCUGCUAUGAAAUCUUCGAUGGCUGCCUCGCAUUUGGAUCUCCUAUGCUUUGGUUUGAAUCGUGGUUUGAAUCAUCCACAGAUCGCCAUUCUAUCGGUGUGUUUUCUUCCGGGAUAUUGGAACUCUAAUGCUUGCAUUCUCAAAUAUUUGUCGUAUUUUUUCUUGUGGAUCAUUGCUUGUUCUUUCGGAUCAUUGGCAAAAGAAGUACUGAUUUGGAAGCAAUGCAGAGAACUCCGGACUUUGGUGAUCUCGAUCGACUGAGUACAACUUUACUUCCUGGAUUUGAGAAAAAAAAAUGGCGUCGGCGAGUAGCAGCAGUGGCGGUGCCUGGGACGAGCUCAAGAUCCAGAUGAAGGACCUCCGAGCUCUGCUCCACAGCUCCAGCUUGAUCGAGAGGAGGAUCAAAUGCGAAGUGAAAAGGAUCCUCAACACUACCAUCUCCAACUACGAGGACCCUCACCGCUACGAAAACUCCAACACUGUUCUUGAAAUACUUUCAGGUAUGAUUCGCUAUAGAUCUUUGCACUUUUCCUUUUUGAAAAAGAAAACGAUAGAAAAACAAGAGCUAGAUUUUUUUGCCUGCUCUCUGGGAUCUCAUUCUCUUCUGUUUGAAUGGUCUAGCUCCUUCUUGCCAGGUUCUCUGAUGGGAUCAUUCACCAUCACUCCCCAUACUGUAUGAGUUCCGUAUCUAUACUGAGAGACACACUGUACAGGUCGAGGCAUCUCACCGCUAGAGGCAGCGUUUAUGUGGAUGGGUGCUUGGAGGCCAUCAGCUGCGAUCUCGCUGGUUUUCUCGGUCAUGGGACUCAAGAACCAGGGCCUCAACUUGAACAUCACCGAUCCAGGAACUUUGGGGGGAUCAGUCCCAGCUCUCAGCGAAGAACAGCUCUCCCAGCUCCAGACUUUCCGGGAUCUUACGAGCCAAGCCGAGAAGGAUCUCACGGAAGAACUCGCGACUGUCCAGGUGAGCUAAGCACUUCGGUUUUCCCUCAAGUGAUCGUUUGAUCUUUGCAGAUGAUGCUGGCGGAUCAGGACGUGGUGACUGAUCUCUUGAAGGACGACGAAGGAGAGGAGGGAUCGUCGUCCAGCUCCUCCAAGCUCAAGGAGACGCUCCAUUCUAAAAUCUCUAGCCUUCGCGAUGUUUUAAAGCGGGCCGACCAGCUUCGCAUCAAGACGCUGCUUGAGCUCCACUCUGUGCUGGCUCCCAUCCAAGCAGCGCAAUGUAGCAUCGUCGCUUUUGAGGUCGCGUUUGCGAUGCGCUCCUUAAAUUCAGCCACACCACCCACAACAUCGUGUCCUCGCAAAUGAUUCCCCAAAAACAGAAUGACCAAUGACCCCUGUCUGUGCAAAUAAUAAAGUGUAUUUAGGUCAUUGUUAGUUUUAAUCUGUUAUCAUGUAAUAGAAAAUCUAUACAGGGUAAUUUAAAUUUAUAGUGGGAGAGCUCCUUGCAUAAUUCUUGAAGAGAAUUUCUAUGCAAGAAUGUAAGAACUUAAAAGAGUUUCAUGGACAGGGAUAUGCUCUUUGAUCUUGUGCACAACACUUGAAAGGAGAACUCACAUACCUGGAUGCUCACAGUAAAUUUGUCUGUAUCACACAGCUCCCUCUUGGUCAGGAGUUGUAACUAGGAAUUCCUCCAUAGAAUGGACUUCCACUUCCUCUAGAGCUGAAGCUUUAAAGCAACAUAGCCAUUUCAGUUUAUCAGGUAGAACCUUAAAGUUCAUGGUUCGCUGUGUGACCUUUGGAGCUGGACUUGGACAGCCCUGCAUUGCUUACAGUUGACUUAGCAAGCUUUAGAAUGCA
rnacentral:lncRNA from 1 species